rnacentral:siRNA from 1 species
AAUUAGCACAAAAAAUAUGGUAC